rnacentral:rRNA from 1 species
UUAACGGAGAGUUUGAUCCUGGCUCAGGACGAACGCUGGCGGCGUGCCUAAUACAUGCAAGUCGAGCGGACAGAUAAGGAGCUUGCUCCUUUGACGUUAGCGGCGGACGGGUGAGUAACACGUGGGCAACCUGCCCCUUAGACUGGGAUAACUCCGGGAAACCGGAGCUAAUACCGAAUAAUCCCUUUCUCCACCUGGAGAGAGGGUGAAAGAUGGCUUCGGCUAUCACUAAGGGAUGGGCCCGCGGCGCAUUAGCUAGUUGGUAAGGUAACGGCUUACCAAGGCAACGAUGCGUAGCCGACCU